AAACAUUUAGGUUUAUGUAUGUAGCCUAUGUGUAAUGAAAUGUGAAAACAAGCAAAUAUCGCGUCGCCCUCAUGACAGGCAGAGAGAAUCUUCUAAGUGAUGUUGUCCAAGGCAUUCUAUGAACGUAGGAAUACGUGUCUGUGAGUUUCCUCAGCCAGCAAAGCUGAUAUGUAGCGGACUUUUUCAAUAAAAAGUAAAUCAGGGCGAUUGUGUGUUGUUAGGUGAGGGGGUGCCUCAUUUGAAAAUAAUGUGUGUAUAUUUUAUCAUUAUUAGUAGGCCUAUAUAGGUUUUAGUAUACUUUUUGAAAAUAUAAAACCGGGUCUACAAACUCCCUUUUAUCGCUGACAGGGCGCCGGGUUUUAUCAAGAAAGUGGUAAUGACUGCAAGAACCUGGCGCACCUAGUUAAUUUGGGUAUAUAAUAUAUGUAUGGUGCACAUAUAAGAAUAAUUUAAGAUUUCUUAAAAAAAAACAAAACAUUUGUAUUAUUACAUUAGUAACUAGAACUCGAAUUUUUAAGAUUUGAAUGAGACAAAUAAACGUACUUGAAUAGCUUGUAACAUUCAGUCUAUGCUUACUGGGUAGAAAAGAAAAACGCAAAAUAAAAAUUAA